UUAGGGUUAGGGUUAGGAUUAGGGUGGAGCUAGGGUUAGGGUAAGGGUUAGAGCUAGGGUUAGGGUUGGGGCUAGGGUUAGGGUUAGGGUUAAGGUUGGAGCUAGGGUUAGGGUUAGGGUUAGGGUUGGAGCCAGGGUUAGGGUUAGGGUUAGGGUUGGAGUUAGGGUUAGUGUUGGAGCUAGGGUUAGGGUUGGGCUUGGAGCUAGGAUUUUUCUGAGUGCAAUGAACCAACUCCCGAGUCUCUA